rnacentral:sRNA from 1 species
UUAAAUAAAGACCUCCUAACUUUAUUUAAUGAAUUUUUCAUCAUAAUCUCCUAAUGAAGUCACCCAAUCAGGUGGCUUUUUU